GAACGUCUUCAGGGCGGGGUGGAAGUCCCCACCGGCGGUAGGUGCCACGGCACGAGCCCGCGAGCGCUCACGAGGUUUCGUGAGGUCAGCAGAUCCGGUCCAAGUCCGGAGCCGACGGUUACAGUCCGGAUGAAAGAAGACGGCC
rnacentral:ncRNA from 2 species